UCCUCCAUUUUGGUAAAGAGUUAUUACAUUGGUUUUACUUCACCACUAUACAUACCUGUCACGCAGGUGGUGCUAUGUGAUUGGUUAAACAUAUUUUAUGUAAUACUAUUGGCUCUCGUGACAUUGUCACGCGCAUGCGCUGCACUAUUUCAUUUCAAAUUGUUUCGCGCGCACUUGGUACGCCAACAUACAGGAUUUCAAAUUUACCGCGCAAUUCUUCAGGCCCCUCUUGCCCGUAAUGUGAGGCAGACACAUCGAUUUGCGCAGAGAAAGGAUAUCGGAUGGCGAUUUGGGAUUCCGCCGAGAAACUCUGUAGAGUGAACAUCAACUAUCGAGUGCAGUGAAAUCUAAACCCUUAUUUAAUGGAUUCUGAUCCCAAUUUGGAUCCAGGAGAAGAUCUUGAAUCAGUCCAGUAUAUGGAUCAUGAUAACC